ACUUUGAUGUUGUUGUUAUUGUUGUUGUUUGUGCGGUCCUCUAAUGCCUUCUGUUCUUUUUUUGUUUCUUCCUAUGACUCAUUUAUCCUCUCUCUUUCAUUCUCCCCGUCUUUUCCUUGCUUCUUCUGCAACGUUUCUUAUUUUAUUGUUUGCUCUUUCUUCUUUGUGAUAUCUUCCUUAUACCUCUUAUUCUGAUUUUCUUUUUUUGCUUCUGGAUUCUUAUUCCUGUCUCCCUUGUGAUUUUUCCUGCUGUCUCCUUCUAAUAUUGCUAUAUUUGUUAGCUCUGGUGUGUCUAUUUUUCUGUUUAUUUUUUUCCGCUCUUGAUUUUUCAUAAC